rnacentral:misc_RNA from 1 species
UUUCCGUAGGUGAACCUGCGGAAGGAUCAUUACCAAAUGUCCUUUGACAAGCUUUGCGCUGGGUGCAAACCCGGCCGGAGUUCAAACCUUUUGUGAACAGCAAAAAACCUUUUCGCUUCGGCAGCUGGUUGGGCUCCUGCCCGGCCGUCAGCCUGCCGACGGCACCUUCAAAACUUGUUUUUACAACCAUGUCUGAAAAACCAUUCUGUAUCUGAAUGAAAUUAAAACUUUCAACAACGGAUCUCUUGGUUCUGGCAUCGAUGAAGAACGCAGC